rfam:Salmo salar isolate Sally breed double haploid chromosome ssa14, whole genome shotgun sequence.
ACAGUUGAAGUUUGUAAGUCGCUCUGGAGAAGAGCGUCUGCUAAAUGACUUAAA